UACGAAGGGGGCUAGCGUUGUUCGGAAUUACUGGGCGUAAAGCGUAUGCAGGCGGAUCGUUAAGUCGGGGGUGAAAUCCCGAGGCUCAACCUCGGAACUGCCUUCGAUACUGGCGACCUUCGAGUCCGGGAGAGGUGAGUGGAACUCCGAGUGUAGAGGUGAAAUUCGUAGAUAUUCGCAAGAACACCAGUGGCGAAGGCGGCUCACUGGCCCGGUACUGACGCUGAGGUGCGAAAGCGUGGGGAGCAAACAGG
rnacentral:rRNA from 1 species